rnacentral:rRNA from 1 species
GGUCUCCGUAGGUGAACCUGCGGA